AUUCUAAACUCUCAGUAAUGUCUCAAGAAAGGAAACUGAGAGUUGUAUACUCCUUGGUAGGAAUAGUAGACAUUUUGGAUGUUUUGACAAAAAGACCAACUAAGUAGAUACUCAGAAAGAAGCUGGGGGAGGAAAUGCCAAACACCUUCUAACCUGUUUAAAAUGCAUAUAUUAAAAUCCUAGUGCACCUUCAGCAGUACACGAUGACAAAAUAUGACUUCUCAAAAGAAACAGCAAAACAGGAAUAAAUUCAAAGAAAGGAUAACUAAGAUGAUGACAGGGAAUUACAUAAACUUAAAAGAGCAGACAGACAAGACCUGCAUUCAUCUAUAUAUAGUUAGACCAGACAAAGAGAGACCAUAAUUAAAGUCUUCAAAUUUAAAGGGAUAAGAGGGAU
rnacentral:lncRNA from 1 species